UACGAAGGGGGCUAGCGUUGCUCGGAAUCACUGGGCGUAAAGCGCACGUAGGCGGCUUACUAAGUCAGGGGUGAAAUCCUGGAGCUCAACUCCAGAACUGCCUUUGAUACUGGUGAGCUUGAGUCCGGAAGAGGUGAGUGGAACUGCGAGUGUAGAGGUGAAAUUCGUAGAUAUUCGCAAGAACACCAGUGGCGAAGGCGGCUCACUGGCCCGAUACUGACGCUGAGGCGCGAAAGCGUGGGGAGCAAACGGG
rnacentral:rRNA from 1 species